rnacentral:rRNA from 1 species
AGGAGAGUUUGAUCCUGGCUCAGGAUGAACGCUGGCGGCGUGCUUAACACAUGCAAGUCGAACGGAGACUGUUGAUGAAGCGGAAGGGCUUGCCCGGAAGUGGAAUUGAUAGUCUUAGUGGCGGACGGGUGAGUAACGCGUGGGUAACCUACCUCAUACAGGGGGAUAGCAGUUGGAAACGACUGAUAAAACCGCAUAAAACGGUAGCAGGGCAUCCUGCAACCGUCAAAUAUUUAUAGGUAUGAGAUGGGCCCGCGUCUGAUUAGGCAGUUGGCGAGGCAAUGGCUCACCAAACCUACGAUCAGUAGCCGGCCUGAGAGGGUGAACGGCCACAUUGGGACUGAGACACGGCCCAAACUCCUACGGGAGGCAGCAGUGGGGAAUAUUGGACAAUGGGGGGAACCCUGAUCCAGCGACGCCGCGUGAGUGAAGAAGUAUUUCGGUAUGUAAAGCUCUAUCAGCAGGGAAGAUGAUGACGGUACCUGACUAAGAAGCCCCGGCUAACUACGUGCCAGCAGCCGCGGUAAUACGUAGGGGGCAAGCGUUAUCCGGAUUUACUGGGUGUAAAGGGAGCGUAGGCGGCCACGCAAGUCAGAAGUGAAAGCCCGGGGCUUAACCCCGGGACUGCUUUUGAAACUGCGCGGCUCGAGUACAGGAGAGGCAGGCGGAAUUCCUAGUGUAGCGGUGAAAUGCGUAGAUAUUAGGAAGAACACCGGUGGCGAAGGCGGCCUGCUGGACUGAGACUGACGCUGAGGCUCGAAAGCGUGGGGAGCAAACAGGAUUAGAUACCCUGGUAGUCCCCU